rnacentral:rRNA from 1 species
UACAGAGGUCUCAAGCGUUUGUUCGGGAUUCAUUGGGCGUAAAGGGUGCGUAGGCGGCGCGGUAAGUCGGGUGUGAAAUCUUGGAGCUUAACUCCGAAACUGCAUUCGAUACUGCCGUGCUUUGAGGACUGGAGAGGAGACUGGAAUUUACGGUGUAGCGGUGAAAUGCGUAGAUAUCGUAAGGAAGACCAGUGGCGAAGGCGGGUCUCGUGGACAGUUCCUGACGCUGAGGCACGAAGGCCAGGGGAGCAAACGGG